CCUGUCCCUGGGGCAGAUGAGGUUUUCCAGAGGGCCCGAGAUAGACUUUCCCAGAGCAGCAGCUGGAACUGUAAAUCUCUUGACUGUUCUCUUUCGUUCCCUCCAGCUUUCUGGCAGAGAACUGCUUAAUCCAGCCUCUCCCUCCCCUUCUUGUCAGUACUCACCGGAAGAGGUGGGUAUAGCUUGGGCGGUUUGGUUGGAGCCGGAUCCUGGAAGUGUUGGCCAGAGGCUUCUGUCACUGGGAUCAGACCCUGCCAAAACAGCGGCUCUACAACCUCUGGGAGAGCUGGUGGAAGAGCAGUGGAUGUUGCAGAAGGUCCUGGCAAAGCACUGGGAGGCAGGAUUGAUUCAAGAAUCACAGAGUGAAAUUCAAGAAAGCCAAAGAUGAGGAUUUCCCAUCAGAACAGUGAGAAGUUCAACAGCGAUUCUCUGAGGUCAUGGUCAAUAUUGGCUCCACCAAGGAGAACGUGGCUGCACCUCCAAGGUCCUCUCUGGUGCCUCCCUUGAAUCCCUAGUUCCUACAGAUCCUCAGAUACCUUCCUUCCAGCUCAGCAUAUGGCCUGCCCUGAAGGAUCUCACAGACCAUUCUCUGGGCCACAAAAUGGUCCAUUUUGGCUGCUACCAAGACCCGAAUAUAUACUACCUCUAUCCCAUUGUGGAAUCCUGAGCUGUCUCUACAAACCUCAAUUCUAAUUCUUUGGGCUCUUUUUUUUUGCCACAAAGCUCUAAGAGAAGCUAGGCCCAGAAAGUCACAUGUUAUGAUUUGUCAUGAUUCUGAUCCCAAGCUGGAAUCAAGAUUGCUUGGAGGAGUAUCAACAACCUCAGAUAUGCAGACGACACCACCCUUAUGGCAGAAAGCAAAGAGAAACUAAAAAACUUCUUGAUGAAGGUGAAAGAAGAGAGUGAAAAAUGUGGCUUCAAACUUAACAUUCAAAAAACUAAGAUCAUGACAUCCAGUCCCAUCACUUCAUGGCAAAUAGAUGGGGGAAAAUGUUCUCAUCACAAAAAAGAAAUGAGAAUUGUGUGAUGGGAUGGAGAUGUUGGCUAAUGCCAUGGCGGGAAUCAUUUUAUCACAUAUAAUUAUAUUCAAUCAACAUGCUGUACAUCUUAAACUUACACAAUGUUAUAUGUCAAUUACAUCUCAAUGGAACUGGAGAAACAAAUUUUAAAUAAAAUGUGUGCAUUUUAUUUUGCAUAAUUUAUACCUUGAUAAAAAAUAACUAUAUAAU
rnacentral:lncRNA from 1 species